rnacentral:rRNA from 1 species
UACGUAGGGGGCGAGCGUUGUCCGGAUUUAUUGGGCGUAAAGAGCUCGUAGGCGGCUUGCCAAGUCGGACGUGAAAUCCCUCAGCUCAACUGAGGACGUGCAUCCGAAACUGGCAGGCUAGAGUACUAAAGAGGAUCGCGGAAUUCCCGGUGUAGAGGUGAAAUUCGUAGAGAUCGGCAGGAACACCAGUGGCGAAGGCGGCCACCUAGCCCGCACUGACGCUGAGGCGCGACAGCGUGGGGAGCGAACUG